rnacentral:lncRNA from 1 species
UUUUUUGUUCUUUCUUCUUUCCUUCUUCUCUCUUUCUUCCUUUUUCUUUUUCUUCCCCCACCAACCACACGACAAACCCUCAGGUCACACCACCGCAGCUCGUCGCCAUUAUCUGUUCACUGUCUGUCAGUCGCAGCCCGUCGCUCGUUUCACUGUCGUCAUCCGUUUGGCCACCGCUUGCUACUGGUCACAAACCUCGAUCAACGUCUGCGCGCUGUUCCGUCUCUGUUGUCUGCCAUCAGGUUUGACGUCAUUCCCUCACCUUCAACUGUUGCGCUGCCACCCAUCAGUCCUUCUCUCUCGUUCGCCCCUCGCUGCCUUCAAAGCCGCCAGCCACCAUUUCACUGGUCAACUCCACUGCCGCUGUUUGACUGCAGGCCCAUGCUUGGCAAAUCUCGUUCAUUGGCCAUGACGCAACAACGCCAAUCGCAGCCAUGUCCUAGGUGACCAUUGUCAGUGAGUUGCCUUGUUUGUCGCUGCGGCCUAUUAGUUCACUAUGAGAUUCACUUUUGGCGACAAUUAGUAAGUUACUCCUUCUAUGUUGGUAAGUGGUGCUUUGGACUACAAUUGACAAUUUUCUUGGGUUUAACUUCCGUUUGCUCAUUAAUUUCAACUCUCAGUUUUAUGAUUGAAAUAUUGGUUCUUAAAGGCUUGGUAAUCCUAUAGUCAUUAAUUUGUAUACGUGUUGGUGAUGCCUUUGAUUUGAUUAUUGAUUGGAAAUGGUGGUGAAGUUGAAGCUGCUCACUUGGAAAUUAACGAUUGUUGCUAUCGGGUAUUAUGGCUGACUUUCCAGUUCUGCUAAUGCAUAGUGGUUCAUUAUUGUUACACUUUGUUUUGAGGUUGAUUAGUUGUCUUGGGUGAUGGGAGUCCCUAAGAGGCUUGUAUUUAACCGUUGUGCUUGGAACUUGUUAACUAUCAUUGUUGAUUGUUGUUCUUGAUUGAGUGUGUAAAUGGCUAUGACAAAAACACCCUGUAAGUCUAAGACCACUAAAUGGAAUGCCGAGUUGAUGCACCCAUGUUCAUCGAAUGGAUGAUCGGUUGGCCAAUGUCGAGUUCCACAUGUCGUUUGCCUCUCACCUAUAGUUGUCCACGGUUCCCCUCCAUGCAAGUAUAGGCAUUUUUCUUGGAAUUUUUUCGUUCGACUUUGUCGAAGUUUAUCCAAUUUUUGCCACGUCUUGUGCAUUCUUGUGGUUAUUCCUAAUCAACAAUGGCUAGAUGUUUCAAAAUUUUCUAUUGCUAAGGUUUUAUAUGAUAAUGGGUCAAGCAUGACACGGUUAGGUCUAAAGCUAUCUCUCUGGUGAAUAUUUGCGAUUUUAUAACUUUUACAAUUUUUGGUUAAUUUUUUUAGGCAUUUUAAUUAUUUGUUUGGCAUUUUUUCACGUAAAUUGGUUCAAUUAUUAAUCUUAAUUAUCCAUGUUUGGAAAAUGAAGUAGGCUUGUGAUCUUUAAUUUUAUUUUGUUGCUUAUUUGUGAAUAAUAUUUAGCUGUAAUCCGCUAAUUAUCGUUGCCUAGUAACCGGGGGGUCUUCAUCAAAAGUAUCGACUUUCGUAUCAAAAAGUGGUGAUAGCUAUGAGUAUGUGGCCCUAAAGCGAUGAAAAGUUGAGUAACCAGACUUCUUCAUUUAGUAGAUGUCGCAGUUCGUGUCAAAGGCUUGAAUGGCUAAAGACUAAGCAUUUUUUUUAAAAAAAAAGUGAAAAAAAAUUGGAGGAAAGAAAAAAAUUUGUACUAAUAAUGAAAAAAAUGUACGAGAGUGUGAAUCAUUAUGUUAGCCUACUGAUCCAUGGAUUUUAAUGUCGAGAUUUUGCUUAAUAGUCGAACCAUUUGCAGUCAAAUGCUAGUUGAAUAUUUUAUAUCCUUAAAUUAGUUAGUUAGAAAUUGGAAGAAUCUUUGAUUUUGAAAACUAACCAAAGAGAUAUUUCUUAGAAUUUAGUCAAUAAUAUUUGACAUGUAUUUUAAUUGUAUAUUGGCAAUGGAUUAUUUGGAGCGAUAGCCAUUGUUCUCGCUUAAUUGCUGAUUAGUUGUUCUCAUGCUUGAGAAGAAGCAUGAUUUAGGUGUGGAAAAAUUGAUAGGGUGUAUUUUGUUGGUAUAUUUGUGGAUAUUUUUUCCUUUAUUUUGGACCAAAUAUUGUUUUAAUUGAUAAAUUCUAUUUAUAUUUAGUUAAUGGUGCUAAUUAUAGGGAGGUGGAUCAAAAGCUGAUAAAAGGAGUGAUUUUUCAAGAAUUACUGUCAAAUCCAGACGAUUCGGAAUUUACGCGCAUGGUGGUUUCCCAAUUUAAACUGAAGUCCUUUUCCAAAAUAUUCAGUUUUCCAUUUUGUAUUUGGAAACAAUAGCUGUCUUUUGUCGAUUUAGGAAAUAGCUUUUUUUCCUUAGGAAAAUUAGGAAAUAUUAAUAGUUUAGGAAAGAAAAGAAACGUGAAGGGAGUGAAGUCUUUGGUUGGCUGGUUUUUCACUUGAUUGGUACUUUGAAG